rnacentral:rRNA from 1 species
AGUUUGGAACCUGGCUCAGGACGAACGCUGGCGGCGUGCUUAACACAUGCAAGUCGAGCGGUAAGGCCCUUCGGGGUACACGAGCGGCGAACGGGUGAGUAACACGUGGGUGAUCUGCCCUGCACUUCGGGAUAAGCCUGGGAAACUGGGUCUAAUACCGGAUAUGACCUUGGACUGCAUGGUUCUUGGUGGAAAGGUUUACUGGUGCAGGAUGGGCCCGCGGCCUAUCAGCUUGUUGGUGGGGUAAUGGCCUACCAAGGCGACGACGGGUAGCCGGCCUGAGAGGGCGACCGGCCACACUGGGACUGAGACACGGCCCAGACUCCUACGGGAGGCAGCAGUGGGGAAUAUUGCACAAUGGGCGAAAGCCUGAUGCAGCGACGCCGCGUGAGGGAUGACGGCCUUCGGGUUGUAAACCUCUUUCAGCAGGGACGAAGCGAGAGU